UAUCAAUAAGCGGAGGAAAAGAAAGCAACAGCGAUAGCCUCAGUAACGGCGAGUGAAGCGGCUACAGCUCAAAUUUGAAAUCUGGUCCUCCUUUGGGGGUCCGAGUUGUAAUUUGCAGAGGAUGCUUUGGCAUUGGCGGCGGUCUAAGUUCCUUGGAACAGGACAUCGCAGAGGGUGAGAAUCCCGUACGUGGGCGCCUGCCUUUGCCGUGUAAAGCUCCUUCGACGAGUCGAGUUGUUUGGGAAUGCAGCUCUAAAUGGGAGGUAAAUUUCUCCUAAAGCUAAAUACCGGCCAGAGACCGAUAGCGCACAAGUAGAGUGAUCGAAAGAUGAAAAGUACUUUGGAAAGAGAGUCAAAUAGCACGUGAAAUUGUUGAAAGGGAAGCGCUUGCAGCCAGACUUGCCCGCAGUUGCUCACCUAGGCUUUCGCCUGGGGCACUCUUCUGCGGGCAGGCCAGCAUCAGUUUGGGCGGUCGGAUAAAGGCCUCUGUCAUGUACCACCCCUCGGGGUGGCCUUAUAGGGGAGGCGUAAUGCGACCAGCCCGGACUGAGGUCCGCGCAUCUGCUAGGAUGCUGGCGUAAUGGCUGUAAGCGGCCCGUCUUGAAACACGGACCAAGGAGUCUAACAUCUAUGCGAGUGUUUGGGUGUCAAGCCCGGGCGCGCAAUGAAAGUGAACGGAGGUGGGAACCCUUCGGGGUGCACCAUCGACCGAUCCUGAAGUCUUCGGAUGGAUUUGAGUAAGAGCAUAGCUGUUGGGACCCGAAAGAUGGUGAACUAUGCUUGAAUAGGGUGAAGCCAGAGGAAACUCUGGUGGAGGCUCGCAGC
rnacentral:rRNA from 1 species